rnacentral:rRNA from 1 species
UGCCAGCCGCCGCGGUAAUACGAAGGGAGCAAGCGUUGUUCGGAAUUACUGGGCGUAAAGGGCGUGUAGGCGGACUAUUUAGUGAGGGGUGAAAUCCCAGGGCUUAACCCUGGAACUGCCUUUCAUACUGGUAGUCUAGAGUAUGUGAGAGGUUAGUGGAAUAUCCAGUGUAGAGGUGAAAUUCGUAGAUAUUGGAUGGAACACCAGUGGCGAAGGCGACUAACUGGCACAUUACUGACGCUGAGGCGCGAAAGCGUGGGGAGCAAACAGGAUUAGAUA